GAUGAACGCUGGCGGCGUGCCUAAUACAUGCAAGUCGAGCGAACGGACGAGAAGCUUGCUUCUCUGAUGUUAGCGGCGGACGGGUGAGUAACACGUGGAUAACCUACCUAUAAGACUGGGAUAACUUCGGGAAACCGGAGCUAAUACCGGAUAAUAUUUUGAACCGCAUGGUUCAAAAGUGAAAGACGGUCUUGCUGUCACUUAUAGAUGGAUCCGCGCUGCAUUAGCUAGUUGGUAAGGUAACGGCUUACCAAGGCAACGAUGCAUAGCCGACCUGAGAGGGGGGUCGGCCAACACGGAACUGAGACACGGUCCAGACUCCUACGGGAGGCAGCAGUAGGGAAUCUUCCGCAAUGGGCGAAAGCCUGACGGAGCAACGCCGCGUGAGUGAUGAAGGUCUUCGGAUCGUAAAACUCUGUUAUUAGGGAAGAACAUAUGUGUAAGUAACUGUGCACAUCUUGACGGUACCUAAUCAGAAAGCCACGGCUAACUACGUG
rnacentral:rRNA from 1 species